rnacentral:rRNA from 1 species
CCUAUGGGGGGCAGCAGGCGCGAAAACUUUACAAUGCGGGAAACCGUGAUAAGGGAAUCUCGAGUGCCAGCAUAUAAUGUUGGCUGUCCAGAUGCCUAAAAAGCAUCUGUUAGCAAGGGCCGGGCAAGACCGGUGCCAGCCGCCGCGGUAACACCGGCGGCCCGAGUGGUAACCGCUUUUAUUGGGUCUAAAGGGUCUGUAGCCGGCCAAGUAAGUCCCUUGGGAAAUCUGGCAGCUUAACUGUCAGGCUGCUAGGGGAUACUGCUAGGCUUGGGACCGGGAGAGGUGAGAGGUACCUUGGGGGUAGGGGUGAAAUCUUGUGAUCCUCGGGGGACCACCAGUGGCGAAGGCGUCUCACCAGAACGGGUCCGACGGUAAGGGACGAAAGCUAGGGGCACGAACCGGAUUAGAUACCCCCGUAGUCC